rnacentral:rRNA from 1 species
UACGAAGGGGGCUAGCGUUGCUCGGAAUCACUGGGCGUAAAGGGUGCGUAGGCGGGUCUUUAAGUCAGGGGUGAAAUCCUGGAGCUCACUCCAGAACUGCCUUUGAUACUGAGGAUCUUGAGUUCGGGAGAGGUGAGUGGAACUGCGAGUGUAGAGGUGAAAUUCGUAGAUAUUCGCAAGAACACCAGUGGCGAAGGCGGCUCACUGGCCCGAUACUGACGCUGAGGCACGAAAGCGUGGGGAGCAAACAGGG